rnacentral:lncRNA from 1 species
CAUUGAAUUUUAUAUAUUUUUUAUGUAUAGAAAAAUAUCAACUGCUAAUAUAUAUAAAACUACUAUAUCAUGGGAGAGAUAAUAACAGCGAAAACAGAGAACAUGAAAGCAUAGUCCAAGAUGUUGUUGAAUCAAAGGGAAGUAAUCAGUCUAUGGUUAUGAACAGUCUUAGGUAGCAGGAGAGGAGCCUUGACACUGACAGUCGAGGUACUCAAUGACUGCAAGGCUGCCUUCACUUUCAAAGAAGAUGCAAGUGGGAAGUUAUUGAUGAAAAACAAGCACCUCAAGGUUGAAUGACUUCCUAAAGAAUAAGAAUAAUUAAUUUAUGUAAAUGGACCGGAAAGACAAUUCCUUGGUAAGAUCGAAUAAUUGUACAAUACUUAUACUCAAAGAGGGGAUGAGUGUAAAAAAAAAAUAAAGGUGGUUUCACUGAAGUGCUUACGCACUCAUUUACUACGCAUAGUUUCUCCUUUUUAUAAAUUUUAUCCUUCAGUCCAUCUUUACUACAAUAGCUCUUUCUGUUUUUUGAGGACAUUUUGAUAGAAUCUCUCAUUUUACAAUAAUGUCAAGUAUUUUUCAUGAUUUCUUUUCCUUCGGGGGAAAAAAAAGUAAAAAAACAAACAUUGGGAAAUUAGAAAAAGAGAAGGUAAGCAUGAAAUUGGAACGAUUUCAUCAGUUUAAUAUUCAAAUCAGUGUGAUUUAAAUACAACUUCGAACCAUAUUAUUAUAAGGUAAUUUAAUACAGUUACUACCUUUACAUUAUAUAUACCAUAGAAGAUAAACAAUAAUCAAUUGAAAUUUAAUUAUGAUUCUUCGCUGGGAAUUAAAGUAAUUUUCCCCUCUUAAAGGGGAAGCUCUUGUAGUGACUCAAAGGCUUUAGCAGUUUGUCGGUUUAAUUUAAAUUUGUGUACCUAUAUAUAUAUAUGUAGAUCUUCAUCUGAAGGAUCUACGAGAGAAAAUAUAGUUAUUUAUUUACCAACAUCCAAAGAGAGGACAACGUUAUAUACUUAACCUCGAGUAACACACUAUAAGUUCUCCCUACGUGAGACUAAGUGAGUAAGCACAUUGUUGAUUCUACAAUUUGAUAAGUGAAGCACAUGAAGCUCAAUCUCAGAUUCUCAAGAGGAUCAUUUUUCCCUAGUGGACUGCAACGAGGAACGAAGAAGACUGUCGGAUAUCAUUCAAAUUCAUUAGGGAAAUGAAAUAGGAGCCUUAUUCUGUGUUAACUCUUUAGCCUUGACAUAAUCAAUUUUAUGAUUCAAUCCCAGACCAAAUAUAGUCAAUCCAUAUGUAUUGUAAUUACUAAUCUGUAUGACUGUUAUUUUUUUAGGAUGGCUUUCAAUGAUCCCCUACCUUCUUCAUCAGUUAAAAGAUACUAGAUAGAGACUUCUUGGCAAAUGUGUGGAAUCGAACUUAAGAAAAUAUCGUGUUAUUUUGUUACUUCUGGCAUUAAAGAACAAUUAAUUGUGAUUAAGUGUAACAUAAUUACAUAUAGGGAUCAUAUAUAAUUAAUUGUAAGCAUUCCUUCAGUUUCAUUCCACUCUUAACAUAUAGUGAGCGUUUUAAGUGAUAAAGAGACAUAAAUAAAUUCAAAUAUCGACUAUGUACAAGGAUUCUUUGAAGCAAACAACUUUUAGGAUUCAAUGAAGUUUAAAACGGUCUUAGUAUGCAUUGUUAUAAUCAAUAACAACUUUAGGAUUAUGAAUAUAAUGUAAGAAUGGGACCAUGCGAUAAUGAUCUUUCUCUGGCCAUAUUUAUGAAGCUCUGGACGUCAUUGAUUAAUUUUUUUCCAACAAUAUUUAAGAAUUUAAAUGCAGCAUGGACAGCGUAGUCUGUAUAAUUAUGGCAUGAAAAAAUACCUAUCAUGUGCAAAUCUUCUAUAUAGGUAAGUACUACAGUUUUCCUAUAGGAUAUACAUAACU